rnacentral:rRNA from 1 species
CCUACGGGUGGCAGCAGUGGGGAAUAUUGCACAAUGGGCGCAAGCCUGAUGCAGCCAUGCCGCGUGUGUGAAGAAGGCCUUCGGGUUGUAAAGCACUUUCAGCGGGGAGGAAGGCGGUGAGGUUAAUAACCUUAUCGAUUGACGUUACCCGCAGAAGAAGCACCGGCUAACUCCGUGCCAGCAGCCGCGGUAAUACGGAGGGUGCAAGCGUUAAUCGGAAUUACUGGGCGUAAAGCGCACGCAGGCGGUCUGUCAAGUCGGAUGUGAAAUCCCCGGGCUCAACCUGGGAACUGCAUUCGAAACUGGCAGGCUAGAGUCUUGUAGAGGGGGGUAGAAUUCCAGGUGUAGCGGUGAAAUGCGUAGAGAUCUGGAGGAAUACCGGUGGCGAAGGCGGCCCCCUGGACAAAGACUGACGCUCAGGUGCGAAAGCGUGGGGAGCAAACAGGAUUAGAUACCCCAGUAGUC